UACGGAGGGUGCAAGCGUUAAUCGGAAUUACUGGGCGUAAAGGGUAUGUAGGCGGUUGACUAAGUCAUGCGUGAAAGACCUGGGCUUAACCUGGGUUUGUCGUGUGAUACUGGUCGACUGGAAUUUGACAGAGGCAAGUGGAAUUUCCUGUGUAGCGGUGAAAUGCAUAGAUAUAGGAAAGAACACCAGUGGCGAAGGCGACUUGCUGGGUCAAAAUUGACGCUGAGGUACGAAAGCGUGGGUAGCGAACAGG
rnacentral:rRNA from 1 species